rnacentral:rRNA from 1 species
CAGUCCGCCGCGGUAAUACGUAGGUCCCGAGCGUUGUCCGGAUUUAUUGGGCGUAAAGCGAGCGCAGGCGGUUAGAUAAGUCUGAAGUUAAAGGCUGUGGCUUAACCAUAGUACGCUGUGGAAACUGUUUAACUUGAGUGCAAGAGGGGAGAGUGGAAUUCCAUGUGUAGCGGUGAAAUGCGUAGAUAUAUGGAGGAACACCGGUGGCGAAAGCGGCUCUCUGGCUUGUAACUGACGCUGAGGCUCGAAAGCGUGGGGAGCAAACAGGAUUAGAUACCCCGGUAGUCCCUGUCUCUUAUAC